rnacentral:rRNA from 1 species
UAUGGUAAUUGUGUGCCAGAAGAAGAGGUAAUACGGAGGAUGCGAGCGUUAUCCGGAUUUAUUGGGUUUAAAGGGAGCGCAGACGGGUCGUUAAGUCAGCUGUGAAAGUUUGGGGCUCAACCUUAAAAUUGCAGUUGAUACUGGCGUCCUUGAGUGCGGUUGAGGUGUGCGGAAUUCGUGGUGUAGCGGUGAAAUGCUUAGAUAUCACGAAGAACUCCGAUUGCGAAGGCAGCACACUAAUCCGUAACUGACGUUCAUGCUCGAAAGUGUGGGUAUCAAACAGG